rnacentral:rRNA from 1 species
GACGAACGCUGGCGGCGUGCUUAACACAUGCAAGUCGAACGGAAAGGCCCUGCUUUUGUGGGGUGCUCGAGUGGCGAACGGGUGAGUAACACGUGAGUAACCUGCCCUUGACUUUGGGAUAACUUCAUGAAACUGGGGCUAAUACCGGAUAGGAGCUCCUGCUUCAUGGUGGUGGUUGGAAAGUUUCGGCGGUUUGGGAUGGACUCGCGGCUUAUCAGCUUGUUGGUGGGGUAGUGGCUUACCAAGGCUUUGACGGGUAGCCGGCAUGAGAGGGUGACCGGAGACAGUGGGACUGAGAUACGGCCCAGACUCCUACGGGAGGCAGCAGUGGGGAAUAUGGCACAAUGGGCGGAAGCCUGAGGCAGAAACGCCGCGUGCGGGAUGACGGCCUUCGGGUGGUAAAACGCUGUCGCCUGUGACGAAGCGUGAGUGACGGUAAUGGGUAAAGAAGCACCGGCUAACUACGUG